AAUGGGCGGAAGCCUGAUGCAGCAACGCCGCGUGCGGGAUGACGGCCUUCGGGUGUGUAAACCGCUUUCACCCAUGACGAAGCGCGAGUGACGGUAGUGGGGGAAGAAGCACCGGCCAACUACGUGCCAGCAGCCGCGGUGAUACGUAGGGUGCGAGCGUUGUCCGGAAUUAUUGGGCGUAAAGAGCUUGUAGGCGGUUGAUCGCGUCGAUAGUGAAAUCCCGGGGCUCAACCUCGGGCUUGCUGUCGAUACGGGUUGACUCGAGGAAGGUGGGGGAGAAUGGAACUCCCGGUGGAGCGGUGGAAUGCGCAGAUAUCGGGAAGAACACCGGUGGCGAAGGCGGUUCUCUGGACCUUUCCUGACGCUGAGAAGCGAAAGCGUGGGGAGCAAACAGGCUUAGAUACCCUGGUAGUCCACGCUGUAAACGGUGGGUACUAGGUGUGGGUCGCAUUCCACGUGAUCCGUGCCGUAGCCAACGCAUUAAGUACCCCGCCUGGGGAGUACGGCCGCAAGGCUAAAACUCAAAGGAAUUGACGGGGCCCCGCACAAGCGGCGGAGCAUGCGGAUUAAUUCGAUGCAACGCGAAGAACCUUACCUGGGUUUGACAUGUACUGGAAGCGCUCAGAGAUGGGCGUGCCUUUUCGGCCGGUUCACAGGUGGUGCAUGGCUGUCGUCAGCUCGUGUCGUGAGAUGUUGG
rnacentral:rRNA from 1 species